CCGUCUCUUCUACCCGAUCCCCCCCUCCCCCCCAAAGCAGAGAGACCCCAGCAGCAGCAGCAGCUGAUGAUGAAGAGAGAGGCAGUGGCAGAGGGGGGGCACCUUUUAUUUCUAUUUUUAAAGGGACAGGACACUAAUUUUACCCCACUUCAACCUUGAAUUGAGGGGGGGUGGAGGGAAGACGGCUGAGUUCCUUCCCCCACCCUCCAGCCCUGAGACCUGAGAGGGGGAUUGAGCCAGAGAGAGAAGGAGAAGGAGUUUCUUCUUCUUCGAAAACCCCCAUCUACGACUCCUACCCCUUCACCCCUCCAGUAGCCUCCCUCCCGAGCCCCCUCCACCCUCCUCUUUGGCCGCGAGAGAGGAGAGAAAGAGACCAAAAGCCUCUUAGCAACACAGACCCUGCUCUGCUGCUGUUGCUGCUGCUGCUGCUGCUGCUACUGCUGCUGCUUGGCCCUGGCUGGAGACAUCUCACUACACCCAGGAGCAGCCACUUCCCCAGCUCUCCGCCGCCGCCGCCGCCUCCUCCUCCUCCUCCACUCCCCCCUUUAUUACCCUUUGUGUCAUCCUCCACAGCUCCAGGGAAGGCACUCAAAAGUGGGGGGCAGGAAAGACAAUUAUCAACUUUCCAGUUUUCUAUGGAUAUGAAGAUUUACUGCUAGUCAUCAGUGGGACCCAAUGAAGUCAGCCAGAAAACCUAUAUCCAACCUAUGUACCUUUGCAAACUUGUCUGGAUUUUGAAUAUGUUUAUUGAGAAUAUCAGUUUCUGCAUGUGGGCAGUAGAUAUUGAAGGUUAUAUGGUUUACAGAAAACAUCUUUAAAAGAUAAACACUCAAGGACCAAGGAAAUAAAACACCAGAAGCCCAGAGCACAGAGUAUUUUCCUUCACCAAUUCAUAGAAUCGUGACACUUCUCUAAUUCCAUCAAACACAAAGGAAUGACCACCUUGGCAGAUGGCCACCGAGGAUGUCAACAGUUUUUUGGAGGCA